rnacentral:rRNA from 1 species
GCUAACCCGUGGUCGUCUAUUGCAUCUUAGAGACUUGGGGUCAGGUGAUGAGGGUGGAAUGCGUAAGGUAGCGGUUAUAGGCGUAGAAAUUAGGAUGGAAACCAGUUGCGAAGGAGGUUCACUGGACUGUAACUGACGCUGAGGCACGAAAGCGGGGGGAGCAAACAGGAUUAGAUACCCUGGUAGUCCACGAUGUAAACGAGUAGUACUAGGUGUCGGGGGUUACCCUCCUCGGUGACGCAGCUAACGCAUUAAGUACUCCGCCUGGGAAGUACGCUCGCAAGAGUGAAACUCAAAGGAAUUGACGGGGACCCGAACAAGUAGCGGAGCAUGUGGUUUAAUUCGAAGCAACGCGAAGAACCUUACCUAAGCUUGACAUCCCAAUGACAUCUCCUUAAUCGGAGAGUUCCCUUCGGGGACAUUGGUGACAGGUGGUGCAUGGUUGUCGUCAGCUCGUGUCGUG